GCCCAAGAGAUCGGGAUAACACCUGGAAACAGAUGCUAAUACCGGAUAACAACAGAUGAUGCCUAUCAACUGUUUAAAAGAUGGUUCUGCUAUCACUCUUGGAUGGACCUGCGGUGCAUUAGCUAGUUGGUAGGGUAACGGCCUGCCAAGGCGAUGAUGCAUAGCCGAGUUGAGAGACUGAUCGGCCACAUUGGGACUGAGACACGGCCCAAACUCCUACGGAGGCAGCAGAC
rnacentral:rRNA from 1 species